UACGUAGGGGGCGAGCGUUGUCCGGAAUCAUUGGGCGUAAAGAGCUCGUAGGCGGCUUGGCAAGUCGGAUGUGAAAACUCCAGGCUCAACCUGGAGCCGCCAUUCGAUACUGCUAUGGCUAGAGUCCGGUAGGGGAGUGUGGAAUUCCCGGUGUAGCGGUGAAAUGCGCAGAUAUCGGGAGGAACACCGGUGGCGAAGGCGGUUCACUGGGCCUUGUACUGACGCUGAGGAGCGAAAGCGUGGGGAGCGAACAGG
rnacentral:rRNA from 1 species